rnacentral:rRNA from 1 species
AUUGAACGCUAGCGGGAUGCCUUACACAUGCAAGUCGAACGGAGUGGCGAACGGGUGAGUAAUGUAUCGGAACGUGCCCAGUAGCGGGGGAUAACUACGAGAAAGCGUAGCUAAUACCGCAUACUAUUGGAGCGGCCCAUUGCGGAUUAGCUAGUUGGAGGGGUAACGGCUCAACAAGGCGGCGAUCCGUAGCCGGUUUGAGAGGAGGAACAGCCACACUGGUACUGAGACACGGCCCAGACUCCUACGGGAGGCAGCAGUGGGGAAUUUUGGACAAUGGGCGAAACCCUGAUCCAGCCAUCCCGCGUGUGCGAUGAAGGCCUUCGGGUUGUAAAGCACUUUUGUCAGGAAAGCGGUACCUGCAUAAUAAGCACCGGCUAACUACGUGCCAGCAGCCGCGGUAAUUC